rnacentral:lncRNA from 1 species
CAGCUAGCCCCACACGCCCUCCUCUUCUCGCUACAGGAGGCUGGGAUGGCCGUGGCUAGCCCCGCCGGCCGUGGCCACUUGCGUGGCAGCCAUCCGACCUCUCCCGGCGUCCUACUCGACCUACAAGUCCUCCCCGAACCCCCCUUGACGAACCCUAGCGUCCUAAGUGCAUUCCCCCUUUUCCCCUUGCUAGAUCCGCCCACUCCCGAUAGCCUCCGCCGCUCACCGCCGUUGAUUCCGCGCUCUCCGACGACCCCGAGCCCCGGCGAGAUGUCACGGAGCUUCGCCGCCCUCUGCUGCGUCGCCUGAGCCGAGCCACUGGAGACGACGGGCUCGGCAUCGAGCGGAUCGAGCUCGUCUCCGUCUUCUGCGUCGCCGGUGACCGCCGCCGUCUUCGUCAUCCCCUGCUGCUACAAAGCUGUCGAGGGCCUUUCUUGGCCGCUCGGUGAGCUCCUCUCUCCCUCCGUUCCUUCUUCCCGCGGCCGCAUUCGUCCCUAGCUAGUUCGCCACCGUUGCCGUGCCUCUGCUUCCGCCGGCGUGCUCGAAGCCGUGCUGUUGCUCUGCGUCGAGCUCAGAUGAGCUCGGGAUCAAUGCUCAUCACGUCCGUGCGGGCCCGUUGCACCCCUCCCUCGCGCUCUAUCGAGCCCCGUAGCGCUCAGUUCCAGCCACCGCAGCAUCUCGCACCACCGCCAUUCGACAUGACGUCGUCCGGCCGUUCAAACGCACCCUGCCCGCGCUCUCACGCGCAUGUGCCCGGGCUUGUCCGCGGCCCGGCCCUGCCGCCACGACCGCGCCCUGCUGCUGUUGCCGCUUGCCACUGCUGCUUGCGCCUCCGCCGCUUGCUUGUACUGCCGCUGCUACUCUGCGUACUGCUGCUGUGGCCUGAUGCUGCCACUGCCGCUUGCCGUCGCCCACCGCGGAGCCACUGCCGCAGCCGCCCCGCGCUCGCGCACCGCGUGCCCGCACUGCCGCGCUCGGCGCUGCUCCCCCUCGCCUGCCGUUGCGGCUGCCCCGCCUACGCACGCCUGCAGCGCCCGAGCCAUGCCACUGCCCAACGCUGCUCUAUUGUACUACUACUAUCUACUGUAGCUGCUACUAGUUAGCUUUUGGUUUUCUAUGUUGACUAAGCCCCUAAACAGCCCCUAAUCAGUGGUUAAACAGUUUUUAAUAUGUGUAAAAAUAAUAUGAAUAGGUAGUACACUUGACGAGGCUCAAAUGUUUUCAUGGGACCAAAUCCACUUGAUACAUGGUUUAAAUCCUACAAAAAUCACAAAAUGCUAUCUUCUUUUAACCCAAGCAUUGUGUGUUCUGCGUGUGAGUGUUCUGUGUGUGUGCGUGAGUGCGUGUGGUGUGGUGUGUGUGGCCGGCCGUGCUAGUUAGUUUAGUUAGUACUGUAGUAGUUAAUUAGUCUAACUAGUAUUUUUUUUGAGACAAAUUAGUCUAACUAGUAGAAUGCCCGUGCGUUGCUACCAGCCUUUUAAUUUAUUUUUUCUCAUUGCAUACAUUUAAUACUUGGUGGAUUUUUGGCACAUUCGCACCACAACGCCUUGGGACCCUUGUCGAUGAAUUCUUUUUGAUCGUCGACAUAGUCCUCUUAGUUAAAUUUUUUCUAUUUUAUUGUGCUACACACAUUGAACUAUGAUGAUGUGUCUUGGGCUCAUCUAGAUGGGCUCUAGUUAUUGCACAUCUAAAUGAGUGAAUUAAGCAUAAAGAGAGAAAAAAAGAAAAAGAAAAUAUUCACACGAAUCUCAACAUAAGAUCAAUGACAUAGGACUUAGAUAUGCAAUAUUUAUGACACAUCUAGAUGUGCUUUAGCAAAACUGAUAAAUUAACUACAACACGAGAAGAGAAGAUAGGCGUGCGUGCCUAGACUGUAAGGUGAUACCUGGGGAGAGUGUUGUACCCCAGCAUAAGCUGGUGGUUGCUGACUUCCGUUUUCGGAUUCGUGUCCAGCGGGAUAAGCGUGCCAAGGUCGCUAGAACGAAGUGGUGGAAGCUCAAGGGGGAGGUAGCUCAGGUGUUCAAGGAGAGGGUAUUUAAGGAGGGCCCUUGGGAGGAAUGAGGGGAUGCGGACAAUGUGUGGAUGAAGAUGGCGACUUGCAUUCGUAAGGUGGCCUCGGAGGAGUUUGGAGUGUCCAGGGGAAGGAGAAGCGAAGAUAAGGAUACCUGGUGGUGGAAUGAUGAUGUCCAGAAGGCGCUUAAAGAGAAGAAAGAUUGCUUCAGACGCCUAUACCUGGAUAGGAGUGCAGACAACAUAGAGAAGUACAAGAUGGCGAAGAAGGCCGCAAAGCGAGCUGUUGGUGAAGCAAGGGGUCGGGCAUAUGAGGACCUCUACCAACGGUUAGGCACAAAGGAAGGUGAAAGGGACAUCUAUAAGAUGGCUAAGAUCCGGGAGAGGAAGACGAGGGAUAUUGGCCAAGUCAAAUGCAUCAAGGACGGAGCAGGCCAACUCUUGGUGAAGGACGAAGAGAUUAAGCAUAGAUGGCGGGAGUACUUCGACAAGCUGUUCAAUGGGGAGAAUGAGAGUUCUACCAUUGAACUGAAUGACUCCUUUGAUGAGACCAGCAUGCGUUUUGUGCGGCGCAUCCAGGAGUCUGAGGUGAAGGAGGCUUUAAAAAGGAUGAAAGGAGGAAAGGCGAUGGGCCCUGAUUGUAUCCCCAUUGAGGUGUGGAAAGGUCUCGGGGACAUAGCGAUAGUAUGGCUAACCAAGCUUUUCAACCUCAUUUUUCGGGCAAACAAGAUGCCAGAAGAAUGGAGACGGAGUAUAUUAGUACCAAUCUUCAAGAACAAGGGAGAUGUUCAGAGUUGUACUAAUUACCGUGGAAUUAAGCUGAUGAGCCAUACAAUGAAGCUAUGGGAGAGAGUCAUUGAGCACCGCUUAAGAAGAAUGACAAGCGUGACCAAAAAUCAGUUUGGUUUCAUGCCUGGGAGGUCGACCAUGGAAGCCAUUUUCUUGGUACGACAACUUAUGGAGAGAUAUAGGGAGCAUAAGAAGGACUUGCAUAUGGUGUUCAUUGACUUGGAGAAGGCCUAUGAUAAGAUACCGCGGAAUGUCAUGUGGUGGGCCUUGGAGAAAUACAAAGUCCCAGCAAAGUACAUUAUCCUCAUCAAGGACAUGUACAAUAAUGUUGUGACAAGUGUUCGAACAAGUGAUGUCGACACCGAUGACUUCCCGAUUAAGAUAGGACUGCAUCAGGGGUCAGCUUUGAGCCCUUAUCUUUUUGCAUGGGUGAUGGAUGAGGUCACAAGGGGUAUACAAGGAGAUAUCCCAUGGUGUAUGCUCUUUGCGGAUGAUGUGGUGCUAGUUGACGAUAGUCGGACGGGGGUAAAUAGGAAGUUAGAGUUAUGGAGACAAACCUUGGAAUCGAAAGGGUUUAGGCUUAGUAGAACUAAAACCGAGUACAUGAUGUGCGGUUUCAGUACUACUAGCUGUGAGGAGGAGGAGGUUAGCCUUGAUGGCCAGGUGGUACCUCGGAAGGACACCUUUCGGUAUUUGGGAUCAAUGUUGCAGGAGGAUGGGGGUAUUGAUGAAGAUAUGAACCAUCGAAUCAAAGUCGGAUGGACGAAGUGGCGCCAAGCUUCUGGCAUUCUCUGUGACAAGAGAGUGCCACAAAAGCUAAAAGGCAAGUUCUACAGGACGGCGGUUCGACCCGCAAUGUUGUAUGGCGCGGAGUGUUGGCCGACUAAAAGGCGACAUGUUCAACAGUUAGGUGUGGCGGAGAUGCGUAUGUUGAGAUGGAUGUGUGGCCACACGAGGAAGGAUCGAGUCCGGAAUGAUGAUAUACGAGAUAGAGUUGGGGUAGCACCAAUUGAGGAGAAGCUUGUCCAACAUCGUUUGAGAUGGUUUGGGCAUAUUCAGCGCAGGCCUCCAGAAGCUCCAGUGCAUAGCGGACGGCUAAAGCGUGCGAAGAAUGUCAAGAGAGGGCGGGGUCGACCGAUUUUGACAUGGGAGGAGUCCGUUAAGAGAGACCUGAAGGAUUGAAGUAUCGACAAAGAGCUAGCUAUGGACAGGGGUGCGUGGAAGCUUGCUAUCCAUGUGCCAGAGCCAUGAGUUGGUUGCGAGAUCUUAUGGGUUUCACCUCUAGCCUACUCCAACUUGCUUGGGACUAAAGGCUUCGUUGUUGUUGUUGUUGAGCACAUGGACAAAAAUUGUACCAGACAUCUCCUAAUUAUCAUAGGAGUCCUAAUUAUCAACGGUUCAAUAAGGAACAUAGGCGGAUGCCAUACAUGAGUCAGCAUGUCCAAUGCUAAUUUGGCACUUGAACAAGAUAUGUUGUUACUACUUUUCCAGUUCUAUACAAUUUUUCUAAGGAUGGCUCGGUCCUACAUCAUCAUGUAAUUCUAUAACCUGAACUAAAAGAUGAUUAGAAUUUAGAAACUAAUCAAUUGUUGUGAGAGAACGGUGUAUGGUAUGCAUAAAGUAUCAUGUAUGCUAAUGACAUUACCACAUGUAUUAAGAAUCAAGUAAAGUUGUAUAUCAAAAAUAUAUCUCCACGAAAAGUUUCAUCUCGAGCAUACUGUUAACCUAAAGGAAUCAACAAUUAAAGCUUCAAAAUAAUAAGAAAGCUGUAGGAAUUCAACAACGUUCAUUAUUCCAUAGAGGUUCUGGGAUGGACACCAUGCAAAACCAAAAGGAUAAGAAACCAUGGUAGUUUGUAUGAAAAUGAUUACCAUCAGGACAGAACAAUUUUUUUGAAAUUUUUCCUUUUGGAGGUACUGACAUGCACUUACUACUAAUUUAAAAAAACAUGCACUACUGAGAUAUGGAAAUUUAUGAUACUGCAAUAAAACUCUACAUGAGUCAGCGCGUCCUAAUUAUCAUCGGUUCAAUAAGGAACAUGGGCGGAUGCCAUACACGAGUCAGCGUGUCCAAUGCUGAUUUGGCACUUGAACAAGAUAUGUUGUUACUACUUUUCCAGUUCUAUACAAUUUUUCUAAGGAUGACUCGGUCCUACGCCAUCAUGUAAUUCUAUAACCUGAACCAAAAGAUGAUUAGAAUUUAGAAACUAAUCAAUUGUUGUGAGAGAACGGUGUAUGGUAUGCAUAAAGUAUCAUGUAUGCUAAUGACAUUACCACAUGGAUUAAGAAUCAAGUAAAGUUGUAUAUCAAAAAUGUAUCUCCACGAAAAGUUUCAUCUCGAGCAUACUGUUAACCUAAAGGAAUCAACAAUUAAAGCUUCAAAAUAAUAAGAAAACUGUAGGAAUUCAACAACGUUCAUUAUUCCAUAGAGGUUCUGGGAUGGACACCAUGCAAAACCAAAAGGACAAGAAACCAUGGUAGUUUGUAUGAAAAUGAUUACCAUCAGGACAGAACAAUUUUCUUGAAAUUUUUCCUUUUGGAGGUACUGACAUGCACUUACUAUUAAUUUUAAAAAACAUGCACUACUGAGAUAUGGAAAUUUAUGAUACUGCAAUAAAACUCUACAAUUGAGUAGAAAAUGACCAAAAUGGAGAUCUCCAUGCGCCUACAUGACCUUACUUUUUAAAAAGUUAAAAACAACUUGCCCGCUAAGAGUAAAAAAAUGCAUCUACUAUCUUCUUGGUGUUUGGAUCACAGAGCUCACCAAUAUAUGCAUUCGACUUUACGGCUAGCACCCAUGAUAGGAAGUUGGGCGCAUCAGCUAGGGCGUAUGAGAUUGCUUCAACUCACCUUGCGGCGACCCCAUCAACAAUUACAAACCGGGCGGCGACGUCCUCAGGCAUCAGGUAUUGCGACGUGCCGAUGUCGAUGGCCAGCUCAGAGCCCAUGUCAUGGUACAACAACGCCGAGUGCCAGGGAACGAUCUCUCAGGCGUUGCGACCGUGGAGGCCAUGGCGACGUCGAAUCGCUUCUUGAAGUCGGUUGCUCCCACGCGCGAACGCCGUGACUGACCAUUCUCGGCGAUGUAGAACACGCUUAGGGUUGCCAAUGCCACCCAAAGGUUGUGCCCCAUCACUGUGAUGCUCACAUCCUCGUCCUUGUACGUGUCCACCAACUUCCGCACCUUAAUCAGCAGUGACUCCUGGCUUUUUUCCCUCCUUCAAGAGGUACCACACUUAGUAGGAAACACGAGGUACGGCAAUAAGUAUAAAGAAUCUAUAGUCCAAAUAUAAAUAUAUGUUUGUACAUAACAUUGACAACUGGAUAAAGCAUAUGUGCAAAUUCUAAGAAACUAAUAUACUUAUGUUCCAACUCAAAUACUCAAUUGAUGAUACACAAAAGAAACGGAUCAACCGAAAUAAGAAAAAGAGCAUUGUUUCCGGACAUGACCGACAAUAUUCCUCUUCCUCCCCUUUAAUUUUUAGAAUAUGAAUUAAGUUCUUGGCUGAUGGAAUUAGAAGCCAUAUGUCCAAAACCCCUGAAGCUGAAUAAUAUGCUCCUUUAACUUUGAGGUCCGUUCCUCCAUCAUUAUGCAUGUUCCUUAGUAAGAGUUUAUUACCUCCAUUAAGGUGAAUGCAGCGAACCAGUGGCACAAAGAUCUUGAAAUUUGAAUGCUGGAAUAAAUCCAUGCAUGAAUGUAUUGUCCUACGACAUUGGCACCAAAUAAACACCAAAACUAAAUCAAGGUGCACAAGAGGCCUCUAGUGGGAUGGAAUAAAAGAUAAAGAAGCUUAACUGCACUACCACAGAAAUAAAAGAUACUCCCUCCGUUCCUUUAUCUAAGGUGCAUUUUUUUUACAAAAAUUUCACGAUGUAAGGUGUAUUUGUUGUAAUCUCACAAAAAUUUCACAAUGUAAGGAGUAAUUAUGAGGUGAAAAGAACUGAAAAUCCAAAGUAAACUGAACCGACAGAACCGAUGGGCAUGCAUCUUCUUGUUUGUACCACUCAUGACCCCAUGCUGGCCAAUUCCUCCCUCUCUCCUGCGAACCAGAAAAAAAAAUCAGUACGGACAAAAGUUUGACUUUCCUUACUUAAAUACUAAUUUGACUUCAACGGUAAAUCUAAGCAAGAAAAGGAACUGACCUGGUUGAUCUUUUCUUGUUUUGUUCCCGUUACCGCUUUCUAUAGUAGAACCCAAUCUGUUUUUUGAUAGAAUGGAAAAAAGGCACUAACCACACUCUUGUUGAACUUGAGAAAUUAUACAUUGGAGAAAAGCAAAUUAUAGAUUAAUACAUAAGACAAAAAAAUACUCCUUGCGCGCAACCGAUGUGGAGACAAACUACAAGAACCUGAUAAUCCGCACAUAUUAAGGUGUCCAUUUUGAACUUUAAAGUCUGUAGAAAAUGUUGCCUGCACCACUAUCACCAUUAGGAGACUUCAUCCAUUUUCCCUACACUGAACUUAAAGUCAUCAACAGUAGUGGUUAAAUAGGAAGUUUAUCACUUUGAUGUGUAGCAUGGUGGUCAUAGAUGUAGCUGCAAAGAAGCUGAAUGAUUACAUGUUUUAGCGACUGAGUUUUAGUUUCAAUAUUAUUAAAAAGUGCUUUAUCAAUAAUACUCAGAGGUCAAACGCAUGGCAUUGCUCUGUAGUAUACAUAUAUGUCCUCAAGUAAUCAAACACGAGCAUAUAAAAUAAAGCACGGUUACCAAACAUGCCUUGCCCAUUUUAUUGUGUAAUAGGAAUGAGAUCUGACACUAUGAAAAACAGUAAUUUCCUAUGGACUGAGACAACUCUCAAAUGUGUCCAUAAAAAAGAUACAAGCAGGAACCCAAAAGACGAUUAUCUUACCAAAAUUUUGCACUUCCGUUGGGCUUGAACCUGAGAUCUCCGCUGGAAACACCAUGGCAAAUGCCUGCCGGUCCAACCACCUACCGACCUUCACAUUGUCCAAAAUAUCAAUACCCACCCUGAUACAACCAAAUGGUCUGUAGUUAGUCUAGAAAGAUUAGUAGAAAAUCAACCACAUGGCGGAGGAGAUCGACGGUGUGGCUGUACGAUUGGCGGAGUCGAAGAAGAAGAAGCUCCGGCGCCAUUGACAUGGAGGAGGUCAUCCGCCGUCGAUGAGGGGCCUUCCGGGCAUCCUCACCACUUGAAAAAGGGGCUCCGGCGCCAUUGACGUGGAGGAGGUCAUCCGCCGGCGAUGAGGGGCCUUCCGGGCAUCCUCACCACUUGGAAAAAAUUGUGCCGAACUGUUCCACUUCACUCCAUGCCAUGGCCUAACACAUACAAAACAACACGGCGAUAUCUCCAAUGCGCGCCACGAACUUCCCGUCGUCCUCCUGGCCGCUGUCCUCGUCUUGCUAUAACCGUGCCGGUGCAUGACGUUUGACCCAUCAACUAUGGUGGUCACGCGCACAAGGCUGAGCGGGGCACACACACCUUGGAUUCACAGGCCGCAGGCAUGCCUUGCACGAGGAUGUACGACACUUCUGUCUUCGACCAUCAAGAAGAUGGAAGGAUGCGGUGCCGGACGGGGAUCAUGAACUUCGCCUGACUCGGCAAGGAUGAUGUCGUCUCUCUCAUGCCGGACUCGGCCAAGACAUCGGGCACGGGCACGAUCGUCCGAACAUGGUCGAUGACAGCUACGUCGAUUUCAUGGUGGCCGGAGAAGACCAGGGACGAUGGGGAUCAGGAAGUGAAGAGUAAGGAGAGAAGUUGACAAAUAGGAAGGCUGGCGUUGAAUGCGGUGCGGUAGAUCAGGAGCAUAUAGUUGGAAAAGAUCUGCGGGCGAAUCGCAGACUAUAUAUGAGAAAAAGGAAACAAAUUGCACACAAAUAGGAAACAGAGGGAGUACCUUCCUAUCCACAUGCAAGAGCGCAUGCAUCUCCUUUUUUUUGCUUUUUCUUACCGUGGGAAAAACCAGAGAAGGUGAGCAAACGGGAGGUGGUUUUUUUUGAUAAAAACCGGAGGAAUGAUUUCCCAAUCGAUAUGGGUGGGAUUUCCUUCGAUGAGAUGGGUGGAACGAAUGAACGAAACAACGUACGUACUCCUUCAUUAGGAGUAGAGAUAGUAGAUGGCAUGCGGGACCAACUGUUUAUAUUAAAAUGCUAAACUAGAUUUAGAAUAGAUAAGUCCAUGACAAGUAGGCCACUAUUCACUUUGACUAGUCAAUGCUGACUUGGUUGUUGACUAAGUCAACUGGGCCCUGGCCCCACAUGUCAGCUUCUCUGUACCUCUGGCUGGGUACACUUUUGGGUACCCUAGCCUUUUUUUUCUUUUAAUUUCGAAUUAGUAAUAAAUCCAGGAAUUUCAUAAAAACUUUAAAUCUUUGAAAAUUCAUAGAAAAUAAACCGUAACUCGGAUGAAAAUGUCUUCUACAUGAAAGUUGCUCAGAUAAAUCCAACAAAUCCGAAUACGUUAUAUCUUUUCUUGUCAGAUGCCUCUGACUAUCUGAACAUAGAACUUUCCCCUUUCGGUCGUCUGUCUGACACAAGUCCGGAAUCGGGAAUACCUUCCCGGUUGAAUUCCCCCUUCACCUGUUUCGUGCAGCACUACUUUAGAACACUCCUAGCGCUGUGUGUUGCCAUGUUAUGCUUUGUGAUGCUUUGUUUGCUUUAUAUUUAUUGUUUCUUCCCCCUCUUCUCUCCGGUAGACCCCGAGACCGAUGCUCCUCCUGUGAUCGACUACGUCGACGAUGACCCCUCCUUGCCAGAGCAACCAGGCAAGCAAACACCCCCUUGAGCAUUCCGAUAUCGCCCAUUUCUUUCCCUCUCAUGCUUGCAUUAGAACUGCCACUGUUUUCUGUAUGAUCCUACUCUGAUGCAUAGCCUGUUGUUGUUACAUGCUUUCAUAUCUUACCUGCUUAUCCUAAACUGCUUAGUAUAGGAUGGUUAGUGAUCCAUCAGUGCCCCCCACCUUGUCCCAGUUGCCCCGCUUUAUGUUCGAUGAUUCGAUCAACGUGAUCGACACCCAGGCCCCGACACCGCACAUCACCCCCCUUAGUUGUACGACUCUGCAGAGUUAUCAUCGAGUGUCGAGGGUGGAACCUCUUACAUCACUCCUGAUGAGAUCUCCGUAGUGUAGCUUUACGGUCGAGGCCAUCGAGGGUGAUUUCCUCCUUAACCACUUCCGUUACGGCUCUGUCAUGCAACCCAUCAAACGUGAACCUCGAGGGUGGAUCCUCUUACAUUCACCUUGAUGACAACAUCGAGUGGAAUUCACCGGGGGUGAUUCCUCGGGGUUUUUCCCUUGGUGUUAGACACACAGUUACUAUGGUUACUGUGACUUUGCACUGAACCAUGUGACUAAAGAAGGGUUGACCCUGAGUGGUACUCGCGCGAGCUUAAUUGCGAGUGAUGUGGAGUCGGGUUGACCUGGAAGGUGCCCGCGAGAUACUUACGAGGCGUGGCCGGGCAUUCUUAGCCCUUGCCACAAGUACUCGAGACGGGGCGACGGGGUCACAUCGAUCGUGAGUCUCUGCUUGUUACCGUGCGUUCCUAAUCCACUACGAUUUGGAUAUUUGAUCCGAGGGGCCUCUGGCCUGAUAGCACUAACCAUCACGUGGGCAUAGUAUGGGCGUUCUGCGUCGUAUACAUCAGCCGAAGCCUAAAUGAUGUCAGCAACUGAGCGGUGCGCGCCGGGUUGGACUGGAAAGCACCUACCUUGUUAAAGGAGGUAGCUAGGUAUGCUCACCGGCCGCGUUCGCAACGUGUAGGAGUUCCCGAAGAGAUGGCCCAUGACCCCUGGGGGCAUAGGUUUAGUCCGGCGUGCUGGCCUCUCUAUUAAGCCUAGGUCGGGUUGCGGCGUAUUGUUUGGCCGAGGCCGGGCAUGACCCAGGAAAGUGUGUCUGGCCGGAGUUAAUCGAGCGUGGUGGGUAAGUUGGUGCACCCCUGCAGGGAAGAAAAUAUCUAUCGAUAGCAUGUCCUACGGUAACAGACACUUGGAGUUGUAUCCUGAUCGAUACAACUAGACUGGAUAAUUAGGGUGAGACAUGGUGAUGAGAAUUGGAUUGUGAUGAGAAAUGGAUAGUAUGGCUCUGGGAUUACUUUCUUGCAGGGAGUCGAGAAAGGAUCUUUGGCCGAGGUUGAUAACUCUACUUCUACUUUACUUUAUGUUACUCUACUCCCUCCUGUUGCUGCAAGAUGGUGGUUUCCAGAAGAUGCUAGUCUUCGAUAGGCUAGGCUUUCCCCUUCCCUUCUGGCAUUCUGCAGUUUAGUCCACAGAUACAACCCAUUUCUUUCAUACAGAUGCAUACUUAGUUUAGAUCUGAUGUAAGUCUUGCGAGUACUUUGGAUGAGUACUCACGGUUGCUUUGCUACUUCUUUUCCCCCAUACCCGAUUGUUGCGACUAGAUGACGGAGCCCAGGAGUCAGACGACGCCACCGAUGUCUACUACUACCCGGAGGAUGCCUACUACUACGUGAAGACCGCCAACAACUAGGAGUAGUUAGGAGGCUCCCAGGCAGGAGGCCUUGCCUUUUCGAUCAUUGUUGCUUUUGUGCUAGCCUUCUUAAGACAAUCUUGUUUAACUCAUGUCUGUACUCAGAUAUUGUUGCUUCCGCUGACUCUUGUGUAUUCGAGCUUAUGUAUUCGAGCCUUCGAGGCCCCUGGCUUGUAAUAUAAAGCUUGUAUUAUUUUAAUUUGUGUCUAGAGUUGUGUUGUGAUAUCUUCCCGUGAGUCCUUGAUCUUGAUCGUACACAUUUGCGUGUAUGAUUAGUGUACGAUUGAAUCGAGGGCGUCACACCCUCGCACCUGCACAAAACAAAUAAAUCCUCGCAACCAACGCGAUAAGGGGUUGUCAAUCCCUUUAGGGUCACUUACGAGAGUGAGAUCUGAUAGAUAUGAUAAGAUAAUAUUUUUGGUAUUUUUGUGGUAAAGAUGCAAAGUAAAAUAAAAG